UACGUAGGGUGCAAGCGUUAAUCGGAAUUACUGGGCGUAAAGCGUGCGCAGGCGGUUGUGUAAGUCUGUCGUGAAAUCCCCGGGCUCAACCUGGGAAUUGCGAUGGAGACUGCAUGGCUAGAGUGUGUCAGAGGGGGGUAGAAUUCCACGUGUAGCAGUGAAAUGCGUAGAUAUGUGGAGGAACACCGAUGGCGAAGGCAGCCCCCUGGGAUAACACUGACGCUCAUGCACGAAAGCGUGGGGAGCAAACAGG
rnacentral:rRNA from 1 species